rnacentral:rRNA from 1 species
GGGUGUGAUCAUACCAGCGUUAAUGCACCUGAUCCCAUCAGAACUCCGCAGUUAAGCGUGCUUGGGCUAGAGUAGUACUGGGAUGGGUGACCUCCCAGGAAGUCCUAGUGUUGCAUCCU